rnacentral:rRNA from 1 species
GACGAAGGUGGCUAGCGUUGUUCGGAAUUACUGGGCUUAAAGCGCACGUAGGCGGACUGUCAAGCGUCUUGUGAAAGCCCUCGGCUCAACCGAGGAAUUGCUCGGCGAACUGUCAGUCUUGAGGCAAUCAGGGGCACACAGAACUCUUGGUGGAGCGGUGAUAUGCGUAGAUAUCAAGAGGAAUGCCGGUGGCGAAGGCGGUGUGCUGGGAUUGUCCUGACGCUCAGGUGCGAAAGCCAGGGGAGCGAACGGG